UGCUUGAUUGCGAGGAAAACUUCGAGGAAUUGGAGGGACGCCAUGAAACUCAAAAGGACGCCAUGAUAGAUGAUGAAUCCGAUACCGUUUAUGGAUAUUUGAUUUCUUCCAGUCUUCGUCUCCUGCAGUGGAAUUCGGUGAUUCCUAUUUACUGACGGUCUUCAUAAUGACUUCUCCUGAACCACAACAACAUCGAUGAUAACGUUCUUGGCGUUUAAUGGAUUUCUUCUACUGCAACAGUAGGAAACUGUAACAGGAGCCACAGAAUCUCCACCACGUCAAUAAAAUUAAUUGUAACUAGUUCUAAAUAAUCUUAAUUAGCAAUAAUUCGUUAUAUGCAGAGUUUUGUAGUUAUUUUUAAGAUUUAUAUACAACUGUAUUUAUAUUGUAAC